rnacentral:tRNA from 1 species
AAAAAAUUAGACUAAUGAGGUUAUUUUAUUUACAAUAAAAAGGUACAGUGAGUAUUUUUUA